rnacentral:rRNA from 1 species
AACGGGAGAGUAACACGUGAGCAAUCUGCCCUUCUCUUUGGAAUAAGCGCGGGAAACUGCGUCUAAUGCCGAAUACGACUUCCUUUCGCAUGUUAGGAAGUGGAAAGCUCCGGCGGAGAAGGAUGAGCUCGCGGCCUAUCAGCUUGUUGGUGAGGUAAUGGCUCACCAAGGCAUUGACGGGUAGCCGGCCUGAGAGGGUGACCGGCCACACUGGGACUGAGACACGGCCCAGACUCCUACGGGAGGCAGCAGUGGGGAAUAUUGGACAAUGGGCGAAAGCCUGAUCCAGCAACGCCGCGUGAGGGAUGACGGCCUUCGGGUUGUAAACCUCUUUCAGUAGGGACGAAGCGAAAGUGACGGUACCUACAGAAGAAGGACCGGCCAACUACGUGCCAGCAGCCGCGGUAAUACGUAGGGUCCGAGCGUUGUCCGGAAUUAUUGGGCGUAAAGGGCUCGUAGGCGGUUUGUCGCGUCGGGAGUGAAAACUCAGGGCUCAACCCUGAGCGUGCUUCCGAUACGGGCAGACUAGAGGUAUGCAGGGGAGAACGGAAUUCCUGGUGUAGCGGUGGAAUGCGCAGAUAUCAGGAGGAACACCGGUGGCGAAGGCGGUUCUCUGGGCAUUACCUGACGCUGAGGAGCGAAAGCAUGGGGAGCGAACAGGAUUAGAUACCCUGGUAGUCCAUGCCGUAAACGUUGGGCGCUAGGUGUGGGGACCUUCCACGGUCUCCGUGCCGCAGCUAACGCAUUAAGCGCCCCGCCUGGGGAGUACGGCCGCAAGGCUAAAACUCAAAGGAAUUGACGGGGGCCCGCACAAGCGGCGGAGCAUGCUGAUUAAUU